AAGAACAAAGGUGUACUUUGCGAAUCGGAAUGCGAUAGAAUCGCAGGAAGAUGAGAGAAAACGUGCCAUAAUGCUCGUAGAUAAUCAGGAGCUUGAUCUACCAGGCCCAGGAUAUCCGCGAAAAAACCACGACAUGAUGCAACAUGUCUGGUGCCACUGGAACGAUGAAUCAUGAGAUUCGAUGAUUUCAUUGAUCAAACGUUUUUGUGUUAAUCCUUUGAUGUCAUUGAUACAUUGAGUACCACGUGAACUUUAAGUUUCAAAAGAAAAUCGAAAAAAAAGAUGCGCUUUUGCUGGAAAUCUUUAUACGGCAACGAAGAUCGACCAGAAACUGAUACUGAUCGAGGUAUAUUAUUUUCAUCUGACAGCAUGUUUACAAAUGCUGGUAAUUGCGGCCGUGUAGUAUACGUAUGUAACAGUACACUGUAGGGUUUGCGGUCUAUAAAAGGGGGUUGACCUGGAUCGAUCUAAAAAUGCUACAAUCCUCGAGGCUUCAAUCAAGAAGAACGUUUGGAAACCCUUAAACCGAGGCGAAUGUUUGCUGCAUUUUAUCGGGAAGGGUGCAGAACGCGUAUUGAUGCCAUUAGACGAUGUACCUGUCUUAUCGGUCUGCGACACCAUCAGCGAACUAUUUACCGUUGCCAGAGCUUAGAAAAAAAAAAAAAUUAAACGAAGACUUACCUCUGCUGUGAUCGGAUGGUUCGUGUGUUGUGUAUGCAUGGUUGCCCCACUUGGUGGUGCAUGCAGCCAACAACACAUUGCAGCACAUAUUAGAAGAGCUCCAGCGAUUAUGCAAGCAACACCGACAUAUCGUACCGGUUCAACGUAAUUCUCCGCCAGGCCCAACCAGUUUAUCAGCGCCCCGACGCAAAGGAGAACCAUCCCGUACCUGUACGGUCGUUGUGAACGCCUCGAUUCUUCCAAAGACAUUGCUGAAAUCAUAAAUGAAGAACAAUGUUGCAACUUUAUUUCAUCGAACUUUCAUUGUUACUGUUAGUUUUGAAGAAGUUCCAUUGAAUGCCACACGAGUCACGUUAAUAUAAUUAAAUAAUUGAUAGAAUUGAUUCAGCAAUUAUGGCUGAAUAUGGAAACGGAACGGCAAAGAAUUAAAACUUACAGUUAUUCCUAUUACAACACUUGCAGUACGACGAUCAAGGAAUUAAUGAGACGUCUGGUGCAUGCGAGCUAUUAAAUACAUACAGGUAAGAGUGGUGGAAAAAUUUCAUGGAAAAUCGGG